AUGGGUGCAGGCAUUUGCCGGAGCCGCCGGGCCUCCCCGGCCACCCAGUCCAUCCUGCCAGCUCUUCGCACACAGACCGGGUCCUCUAGUGUCCGUGUCUGCUUCCCAUCUCUGGGCCAACCUCCGUCUGGCAGGGUCCCAGCCCAGAGUGGGUGUCGCAGGGGGUACGGCCCCUGCCUCCUCACCUCUGCUCGUCACCGUGCGCGCAAGCUCCCGGCUUCACUGCGGCCACAGCUCGGCAAGGCCCCCACGAGACCCGCGAGGUCCUCGGGGGAGCCCACGUCCUCCCUGCCGAUGGUGAUGGUGACACACCUGGAGCACAGUGUGAUUCACCGGCUGGCGUCCACCGGGGGAAAAGAACUGGAAUCUGAAACCCACGGAUUCCUCACGGGUGGGACCGUCCCCACACAGUUCCCCCUGCCCCACAGCCAGGUGUGAUGGAAGCCACAGGACAGUGAAUGCAGUCAGAAGAAUCUGGGAGCCACUUCGCAAGCAUGUGACGUUGGGCAAGUGACUUCAUCUCUCCGACCGUUCCCUUUCUUCAGCUGAAAAUGCAGAUAACGGUGGCCGCCCAGGAGGGCUGAUGUGAACAGGAGACGGGACGGACCGGGGCCUGGCAGCGGCAGGGCAGUCAGGGUUAGCUGGACCCUCGCCACCCUCUGUGCCUGCCCCCUGCCUCUCCUAAAGCCUCCCCCUACUCAGCUUCCCCUCACCCCCACCCCACCCCCGGAACUGGUGCUGGCACCGCUUUGACGCAGUGGCCUUGGAAGAAGUUAAGUCCUGGUCUCCCCCUUGCAGGAUGGACCGGUGCCUCACGCGUCCUUGUGUCCUCCACCGUGUCUGGCCCACCCCCGGCGGGUGCCCAGGAGCCUGCUCCGAAGGGUGGAGGGCCGCUGACUAGAGGGAGGUGGCAGCUGGGGCUGCAAGGAGGACUCCAGAAAAGAGUGAUAAAGGGAGAGCAUGCAAAACUCUGCCACCAUGCAAAACAGAAGCUUGCAAAUGCAAUUCCCAGGGAGCAGCCCAUGCAAACUGAGCCCCGCCAGUGGACACCCUCAGGCCUUCCCCAGCUCCCACCCCAGGGCCCCUUUCUCUGCCACGACGGUGGAGGUGGAGGUGGUGGUGGGAACAGCGGGGCUCCCGGGGGCAGCCCACAUUCACGGAGUUCCCGCUAAUGUCAAAGUGUCGGAUCACUUGCAGAUACCUGACCCGCGAGGGAGGCACCAUUAGGCCUGUUUAACGGAGAGUCCUUCAAGCUUCGCCUCAACCCGGGGUGAGUCCGCAGCCUGAGCACGCUCCCUCCGUGCUGACUCCUCGGGAGGCAAUACCCAGCGGCCUCCAUCCAGGGGAGCGGAGCUGUGGCUGCCCCAGAAGAAGUGGUCCGAGGCCACUUCGCUUAUUUGAGUCAGCAGUUUGAAAAAUCCAUAUAUCCCAUCAUUCGAUCGGUAUUUGUGGAACACGGAAAUCACCCCUCCUACCCCAGGGGUUCUGACGGAUUUAGGGGAUCUCUCCCCAGAGGGGAAGCGCCGCGAGGGCAGGGCACCUGACGCGUUAACAACCGCAUUGGCCCUAGGAAGGGCGGGCGGGUCCACGGAACACACGCGGACGAACUCACCCGUGAGCAGCUCAGGUCACAGGAAGCCCGCUCCCCACCCGACGGAGCCCAGCCUCCCUCCCGAUCCCCUGGUCUCCGAGGGCGAGGGCGGAGGCCACCCCGAAGCAGCAGCACACAGGACGUGCUUCACAGGCCUUCAGGCGAGGCUGCUGACCCCCAAGGUAGGAAUGGGCUCGGAAGGGGGGGCCGGGGGAGGGUCGGGGCUAGACCGGUGCAGCCUGGGGAAGGGGCAUGCUAGCCCCCGUGGCAACUCCGUGUGUGUUUGCAUGUUCCCUUCCCGACAGGAUUCAGGCCAAGGCCAGUAUCCCCCAGGCCAGGCGCCACCUCCUCUCCUCCCUUGACUCCUCCAUACCCCAGGUGAUCGUCCCCCCCCAGGUGAUCGUUCCCCAGGUGAUUGUCUCAGGAAACCCAGAGAAGCCUGAGCCACCGCAGAGGCAGCCCCAGCACCGGAGGCAUGAGAAAGUCCGACCCAGGGAGAGGAUCGUUCCCCUCCCCGAUCUGUGCUUCUGACUCAGAAGUGUCCAGCUGCGGAAGCCGAACUCCCCAGGCCUCCUCCUAGAUGCGGGGUGCAUGGCUCCCACAUCCAGCCACACUGACCCUCCACCCCCAGCCGGACCCUCUUCCACGUGGCAGCCAGCUCCGACGCCGCAAAUUCUUUCUCUCCCUGCGCAGGUCUCCAGACCAGGGACUCUCCUUCUCUCCACUCCAAGCACCUCCUACAGGAAGCCCUCCUGGACUGCUCCCUCCCAGGCUUCUCCUUGCCCUCCAAGCCUAGACUCUGACACCCUCAGCUCUGAGCUGCUCUCCCAGGCUGGGGGCAUGGGCUCAGGCGCCCCCAGAGGCCUAGGAUUCCCCCCACAAGAGUAAUCCUUGCAGAAACUGUGAAAUAAGCAUUAUUUCCAUUUGAGAGCUAAGGAAACAGCCUGGAGGUUAAGAAAAGCUUGUGCGUAUGGUAGCAAAUGGGAGAGGCCAAACCGGACCGCGCCGGCCUCUCAAGCCAAGUGUCUCCUCCAGCCUUACACCUCCCACCUCCUUCUCCAUCCAAGAUCCUAGCAGAUGCCCGGCACUCCCCACACCAUAGACUUUUUAUGACCCCUUUCGAACUUCACGAUUAAGCCUACGGGGAAAGUACAAACAGCCUCAUUUUACACCUGAGGAUAGGGGAGUUCAGACAGUCUCGAAAUAUUCCCUAAGGUCACAGCGCCCUGGAGUGUCAGGAUGGAAAUCGAACCCAACCUUUCUAGCUCUAAAAGCCAAAGUGAGGUUCCCCGGGCCCCUGGGUCCAGGCAGAGCCAGGCUGAGAGAGGCAGGAGACCCCGAUGCCGAUCCUCCAGGCGUCAGCCAGCGCCUCUGAUAAAGGAGGCCGCCUUCCAGAGGGGGAGGCCUGCGGGGUGGCCCCGCUGAUCUGGGGAGAUCCGGAAUCCCGGAGCAGCUGGGCACCGGCUGGCACCACCGACCUCCACCCUCGCGCCGUCCUCUGAGCCGACACGCCCUCAGGUCCUCUCUUUCCCUUCUGCACUUCCCCCCGCCACUGAGCACUCU
rnacentral:lncRNA from 1 species